ACGCACGCUGGCGGCAUGCCUAACACAUGCAAGUCGAACGAGACCUUCGGGUCUAGUGGCGCACGGGUGCGUAACGCGUGGGAACCUGCCCUUAGGUUCGGAAUAACUCCCCGAAAGGGGUGCUAAUACCGGAUAAUGUCUUCGGACCAAGGAUUUAUCGCCUUUGGAUGGGCCCGCGUUGGAUUAGCUAGUUGGUAGGGUAAAAGCCUACCAAGGCGACGAUCCAUAGCUGGUCUGAGAGGAUGAUCAGCCACACUGGGACUGAGACACGGCCCAGACUCCUACGGGAGGCAGCAGUGGGGAAUAUUGGACAAUGGGCGAAAGCCUGAUCCAGCAAUGCCGCGUGAGUGAUGAAGGCCUUAGGGUUGUAAAGCUCUUUUACCCGGGAUGAUAAUGACAGUACCGGGAGAAUAAGCUCCGGCUAACUCCGUG
rnacentral:rRNA from 1 species